GACGAACGCUGGCGGCGUGCCUAAUACAUGCCAGUAGAACGCACAGUUUAUACCGUAGCUUGCUACACCAUAGACUGUGAGUUGCGAACGGGUGAGUAACGCGUAGGUAACCUGCCUGGUAGCGGGGGAUAACUAUUGGAAACGAUAGCUAAUACCGCAUAAUAUUGAUUAUUGCAUGAUAAUUGAUUGAAAGAUGCUAUUGCAUCACUACCAGAUGGACCUGCGUUGUAUUAGCUAGUAGGUGAGGUAACGGCUCACCUAGGCGACGAUACAUAGCCGACCUGAGAGGGUGAUCGGCCACACUGGGACUGAGACACGGCCCAGACUCCUACGGGAGGCAGCAGUAGGGAAUCUUCGGCAAUGGACGAAAGUCUGACCGAGCAACGCCGCGUGAGUGAAGAAGGGUUUCGGAUCGUAAAGCUCGGUUGUAAGAGAAGAACGGGUGUGAGAGUGGAAAGUUCACACUGUGACGGUAUCUUACCAGAAAGGGACGGCUAACUACGUG
rnacentral:rRNA from 1 species